ACGUUCCCGGGCCUUGUACACACCGCCCGUCACACCACGAGAGUUUGUAACACCCGAAGUCGGUGAGGUAACCUUUUGGAGCCAGCCGCCUAAGGUGGGAUAGAUGAUUGGGGUGAAGUCGUAACAAGGUAGCCGUAUCGGAAGGUGCGGCUGGAUCACCUCCUUUCUAAGGAA
rnacentral:rRNA from 1 species